rnacentral:rRNA from 1 species
GAUGAACGCUGGCGGCGUGCUUAACACAUGCAAGUCGAACGAUGAAAGCGGGAGCUUGCUCCUGCUGGAUUAGUGGCGAACGGGUGAGUAACACGUGAGCAAUCUGCCCCGAACUCUAGGAUAAGCGUUGGAAACGAUGUCUAAUACCGGAUACGACGCGCGAAGGAAUCUUCUGCGCGUGGAAAGAACUUCGGUUCGGGAUGAGCUCGCGGCCUAUCAGCUAGUUGGUGAGGUGACGGCCUACCAAGGCGACGACGGGUAGCCGGCCUGAGAGGGUGACCGGCCACACUGGGACUGAGACACGGCCCAGACUCCUGCGGGGGGCAGCAGUGGGGAAUAUUGGACAAUGGGCGGAAGCCUGAUCCAGCAACGCCGCGUGAGGGAUGACGGCCUUCGGGUUGUAAACCUCUUUCAGUACCGACGAAGCGAAAGUGACGGUAGGGACAGAAGAAGGACCGGCCAACUACGUGCCAGCCGCCGCAGUAAGAC